rnacentral:lncRNA from 1 species
UUGGAGAUAAACGGGCCUAAUGACACUGAAGUGUGCCAUUUCUGCUUAGGAACCAGUGGGCCUCCUGCAUUUGGUCGCUUUGUGUAAUGAGAAUCGGGGGAAGAAACCACCAUCAUGGGUUCGGGUCCCAUAGACCCCAAAGAACUUCUCAAGGGCCUGGACAGCUUCCUUAACCGAGAUGGGGAAGUCAAAAGUGUGGAUGGGAUUUCCAAGAUCUUCAGGUGAGUCUUUACCCCUUU